rnacentral:rRNA from 1 species
GAUGAACGCUGGCGGCGUGCCUAAUACAUGCAAGUCGAGCGAACAGAUGAGGAGCUUGCUCCUCUGACGUUAGCGGCGGACGGGUGAGUAACACGUGGAUAACCUACCUAUAAGACUGGGAUAACUUCGGGAAACCGGAGCUAAUACCGGAUAAUAUAUUGAACCGCAUGGUUCAAUAGUGAAAGACGGUUUUGCUGUCACUUAUAGAUGGGUCCGCGCCGCAUUAGCUAGUUGGUAAGGUAACGGCUUACCAAGGCAACGAUGCGUAGCCGACCUGAGAGGGUGAUCCGCCACACUGGAACUGAGACACGGUCCAGACUCCUACGGGAGGCAGCAGUAGGGAAUCUUCCGCAAUGGGCGAAAGCUUGACGGAGCAACGCCGCGUGAGUGAUGAAGGUCUUCGGAUCGUAAAACUCUGUUAUUAGGGAAGAACAAAUGUGUAAGUAACUAUGCACGUCUUGACGGUACCUAAUCAGAAAGCCACGGCUAACUACGUG